rnacentral:rRNA from 1 species
AUUGAACGCUGGCGGCAGGCCUAACACAUGCAAGUCGAGCGGAUGAAGGGAGCUUGCUCCUGGAUUCAGCGGCGGACGGGUGAGUAAUGCCUAGGAAUCUGCCUGGUAGUGGGGGAUAACGUCCGGAAACGGGCGCUAAUACCGCAUACGGCCUGAGGGAGAAAGGGGGGGAUCUUCGGACCUCACGCUAUCAGAUGAGCCUAGGUCGGAUUAGCUAGUUGGUGGGGUAAAGGCCUACCAAGGCGACGAUCCGUAACUGGUCUGAGAGGAUGAUCAGUCACACUGGAACUGAGACACGGUCCAGACUCCUACGGGAGGCAGCAGUGGGGAAUAUUGGACAAAGGGCGAAAGCCUGAUCCAGCCAUGCCGCGUGUGUGAAGAAGGUCUUCGGAUUGUAAAGCACUUUAAGUUGGGAGGAAGGGCAGUAAGUUAAUACCUUGCUGUUUUGACGUUACCAACAGAAUAAGCACCGGCUAACUUCGUG